rnacentral:tRNA from 1 species
AAAAAGGUAAGCUAAAUAAGCUAAUGGGUUCAUACCCCAUUUAUGGAGGCAUUAAUCCUCCCCUUUUUA